rnacentral:rRNA from 1 species
UGGGGAAUAUUGCACAAUGGGCGCAAGCCUGAUGCAGCCAUGCCGCGUGUAUGAAGAAGGCCUUCGGGUUGUAAAGUACUUUCAGCGGGGAGGAAGGUAGUAAAGUUAAUACCUUUGCUCAUUGACGUUACCCGCAGAAGAAGCACCGGCUAACUCCGUGCCAGCAGCCGCGGUAAUACGGAGGGUGCAAGCGUUAAUCGGAAUUACUGGGCGUAAAGCGCACGCAGGCGGUUUGUUAAGUCAGAUGUGAAAUCCCCGGGCUCAACCUGGGAACUGCGUCUAAUACUGGCAAGCUUGAGUCUCGUAGAGGGGGGUAGAAUUCCAGGUGUAGCGGUGAAAUGCGUAGAGAUCUGGAGGAAUACCGGUGGCGAAGGCGGCCCCCUGGACGAAGACUGACGCUCAGGUGCGAAAGCGUGGGGAGCAAACAGG